UACGUAGGUGGCAAGCGUUGUCCGGAUUUAUUGGGUUUAAAGGGUGCGUAGGCGGCCCUGUAAGUCAGUGCUGAAAUAUCCCGGCUUAACCGGGAGGGUGGCAUUGAUACUGCGGGGCUAGAGUACAGAUGAGGUAGGCGGAAUUGACGGUGUAGCGGUGAAAUGCUUAGAUAUCGUCAAGAACACCUAUAGCGAAGGCAGCUUACUACACAGAUAUUGACGCUCAUGCACGAAAGCGUGGGGAUCAAACAGG
rnacentral:rRNA from 1 species